rnacentral:rRNA from 1 species
GGACUACAGGGGUAUCUAAUCCUGUUUGCUCCCCACGCUUUCGCGCCUCAGCGUCAGUGUCGGUCCAGUGAGCCGCCUUCGCCACUGGUGUUCUUCCCAAUAUCUACGAAUUUCACCUCUACACUGGGAAUUCCACUCACCUCUCCCGAACUCAAGCCAUACAGUAUCAAGCGCAAUUCCCAGGUUGAGCCCGGGGCUUUCACGCCUAACUUGAUUGGCCGCCUACGCGCCCUUUACGCCCAGUAAUUCCGAACAACGCUAGCCCCCUUCGUAUUACCGCGGCGGCUGGCAC